CAAUAGCGUAUAUUAAAGUUGUUGCAGUUAAAAGCUCGUAGUUGGACUUCUGAUGUGGAGGGACGGUCCGCCUCACGGUGAGCACUGAUUCUUCACGUCUUCCUCUCGUAGUCUUUUGGCGCACUUAGUUGGGUGCCUUUAGAAUAUGGGACCUUUACUUUGAAAAAUUAGAGUGUUCAAAGCAGGCAAUCGCUUGAAUACAUUAGCAUGGAAUAAUAGAAUAGGACUUUGGUUCUAUUUUGUUGGUUUCUAGGACCGAAGUAAUGAUUAAUAGGGACAGUUGGGGCGAUUAGUAUUUAAUUGUCAGAGGUGAAAUUCUUAGAUUGUGUUACGACGAACUACUGCGAAAGCAUUUGCCAAGGAUGUUUUCAUUGAUCAAGAACGAAAGUAUGGGGAGUCGAAGAUGAUCAGAU
rnacentral:rRNA from 1 species